rnacentral:lncRNA from 1 species
UUUUUUUUUUUUUUUUUUUUUUAACUCAGAAUACCUAUUGUGGAAUAGGAAGUAAAAAUCCUUUAAAAUCUGAUGGGUGGUUCUCAAUGUUAGCUCCUGUUGUUGAUAGUGUGUGUGUGUGUAUGUGUGUAAGAUUUGCAUUUUUCACAUAAUCAAGUACACCAUGAACAUAAAAUAUAUAAAUUGUGUUUGGUUCUGCAUGCAGUAAUUGCUGUAGUAUAUAAAUGGCUCAGGUCCAGUAUCUGUAUAGUACUGUGCUGUGUGUCUACGAUAUAUGGACGUGCCAUGGCGAUGUGAUUCUUACAGUCAUGGGGUAAAGCAGCUCUUAGGGGGUUCUCUCAGGGUGCGUUUUGGUCUUUUGUCAUAUUUCUCAGGGUAGUUCCAGAAGGAAGCUAGAAAGUCCAGAGGUCAAGGACCUUUGUAAGGUUCUUGGUUUAUUAUACGACAAAUGUCCCAGCCAAUAAGCCCUUUGGUCUGGUGUUUCUGUGUACGUGUGAUGCUGUUUCUUGUAAAGAGAUGGUUGCGUUGGUUGCGUGCAUUUUGCAUUGCCCUGCAGAUGGAUUCUGUGAUGUCUAGGUUGAGUUGGAGACCAGACCUCAGUGAUGGAAGAGCUAUAGUGGCCUUUCACCCUCAGUGCCUUGCAGGGCCACAUGAGAUUGUCCUCACCCUCCUUCUGUGUCCAGUGGCUUCUUCUUUAAUUUCAAGGCAUUUCCCAUAGAUGAGACUGAGUGCAGUGGGGGCCUGUGAGGUUGGACAAUGCCACCCACAUCAUUUGCAACUUCAGAGCCAGGCAGGUGCUUGUUCAUGCUGGGGGAAACAGAGGCCCAGUGACUCUGAAUGAUCUCUUAGGGAACAGAAUGGGAAAUAAAGAAGGACAGUUGUUUUCUUUUCAGUACAUGCUAUAGCGUGGAGAAAAGCUAGAUGUCUUUUUUGAUAUUGCUACCCAAAGGACAUCAAACAGGGAAAUCACCUGGGUAACACCCUUCUUGGCCUACUCACACAUAACCAUUGGUGAUUAAUGGCUUUUCUCCUCCACCGCCACCUUCCCGUGGUGGAAAAACCUACUGUACUUCUGCAUCCUGGAACAGGUCCACAAUUGAGCUGCUUUCUUUUAUGAUGGGAAUCUAUUAUGAAUGUCCAACCUUUACCUCAAACUUAGCCCCAACAGAGCCAGACCAGGAAACUGUCCUGAAGAUGAUGGGCCUCCAUUUUAAGGCUUUUCUGUGAGGCUUCUCUGGCCUUCCAGUAUAAUAAAGCUGACUCUAAUGGGUCUGGUCUGUGACAGGUCUUGUGAGAACUGAACCUUUUAGCUUUUCAGAGCCUCAGUUUCCUCAUAGGCAGCAUAGCACCGUGGGCUUGUGAAGACCACGAUAGAACGUUUGUGACAAGAUCAGCACAGGAGAGCACAGAGCGGAAGAGGGGCCACAAUGGCUUCCUUUGGGAGUGGGUGUGACAGAGUUGUCCAUGGGGCCAGAGUAAAGGCCUCGGGAAGGAGGCGACUGAACAGCAGCAGCUCAGGGUGUCCAGGCCCAUCCUGCUGCCUGAGACCACGGAGCCCAACAGGCAGGAGCAGGAGCUUAGAGGAAGUGUCAAACUGUGUGUACAGGCUGACUCUUCAGGAAGCCCUAUCCCCGUGGCUCCCCUUUGGCUGGAUCCUGCAGGCCAGUGCUAAGAGCCCUACCACUCAGACAGACCAGAAAACUGUCCUGAAGAUGGUGGGCCUCCAUUUUAAGGCUUUUCUGUGAGGCUUCUCUGGUCUUCCAGUAUAAUAAAGCUGACUCUAAUGGGUCUGGAGAUGUGGGAGUGAAAGUGCCUAGUGUAGGAACAACAGCUCCAUGCCCGGCGUCUGCCUGCUGCUCAGCUUCCUUGACUCAGGAGAGCUGUGCCCCAUGUCACAGCAUGUCUUACCAGGACUUUCAUUCACCACACGUGGUUUCAGGGGCUUGUUCUCAUAGACUUGCAACGAAUGUCUAGCAUGUGCUAGACACUUAGUAUAGAGCAGAAUGAAAGGGACCCUGUCUUACCCACAAGGAACAUUGUGUCUAGUGGAGGAGAAAGAGCCACGGACAGUAAAUUCUGUGUGCCAAGAUUAGGGAGGCCAGUAGAGCCAUGGAGCAGCACACUCCAUUUCCCCAUUCCUUGAUCUUUCCCCCUGGCAAAGUCUAGCUGCUCUAGGUAGGAGGUCCUUCCACCUUCUGUCCCAUUCCAGCAGCAGUUGGAGCCGGAGGUCUCAGUAGCCAGAGGUCUUCCUACUUCCCUGUGAGUUGGAGCAGAUAGCUCCCAUCAGCUCUCCAGCCCACUGACCCCGUGAAUGGAGUAGUUUAUGGGCUCGUCUUGUGCGGUCACUGUGGCUUACUGGGAGUUGCACCCUAGGCAGAGAGAUUUCAUCUUGGGUGUGCCUGCUUUUCAAUAGCAGGGAAGAGAACACCCGGAGGGGCUGGCCAGACUUUUCAAGAGAGUUUUUGGCCCUUCCAGGGCUGGACAAUGCCGAGCAUAGAUAAAAUAUCAAUGAUCAUAAUCACUACCCCAGCCCCAGCUCCCGAAGACAAAGGCUCUGUGACUCAGGGUUUUCCCUCCUAACCCCAGGCCCAGGGCCCAGGCUGGGAACCGGUAUGGGGAGUUUCCUAGGCACUCUGAAGAAGGGCCCAGCACGUGCAUCAGGGCUCGCUCGCUCCCUAGGAGGGCAGCCCUGGGAUGCUGCUGUCCUUCCUGGCCUAAACUAUCCAGUGCCCACUUCAGAGUCCAACAGAGUAGCUUCAGAUUUUCUUAACAAUGCAUGCUUUGCUUUACUUUUUUAAAGUACCUCAUUCUUGUGAUUGUGAACUGGAUACCAGACCCUUCCCUAUCCUUGUGCCCCACUUCUAUUUGGGAACAUGAUACAAAGUAUUUUUAUACUUUUCUAAAGUGAGGGAGAGAAAAGAUCUGGGUUAGGUGUAGAUGGAAGAAGAAAGACACAGAACAAAACAAAGCCAACCCAACCCUGCCCACCUGCUCGGUACCUGCCUGAAGGUUCCUUCUUAGGGUGCCAGGCCAGCUCCUCCUAGCAGAUAACAGGGUUCCAUUCUCACCUCCAGAUCUUUCCCGCCCACCUCUGUGCUGAGGCAGAAUUUCCAGUGAGGCAUCUACUCAUGACGAGUUGAGUGGCAGCUCCCAGCCUGCCAUCUGGGCUGAGAGCAGCGCCCUUCCUUACAUCUACCUACCUCUGGUGUGUUCAGGAAGUGUGGGAGGGUUGUCCUCCUGGGUGUAGUGAAGCAGGGGCUGCAUGUGACAUCCAGCCUGAGCCUGGGACCCUCUAAGAGAUGCUUGCUUCAUGCUUGCUUGUGGUUACAUGUGCUGCUGCCACCAUCUUCUUCCUCCUCUUCCUCCUCCUCCUCUUCCUCUUUCUUUCUUUCUUUUUCUUUCUUUCUGAUAAAACAGGGCAACUGGGGUGAAUACAGGCCCACUCAUUACCUUUGGCUAAUUGCAGCCGUUAAAUGAGCCCUAUUUCAUCAGGAUUGUAGACACCACACAUUCCGUCUUUCUCACCACUCAGGCCAGGAGAUUAGAAAUCACAUAAAAUGUGAGAAAGUGAGAGCAACACCAGUUAUUCCCAAAAGGCCACUAGGAAGAAUCGUGUAAAUACACGCCAGUGGACAGGGAACAAAACAAUUCAUAUGCUUUAAAAAGAAAAAAAAAGGGAUGAAAACCCAUAAUUACUUCAGGAGUUAUGGUAAUAAAUUAUUUAUUAAUGUAAAUUAUUUCACAGACAAGGAACAUAGAGGAAACUUGAGCAGAAGGAUCAUACAUUAUGUAUAAAAAGGAAUUGUAAAAACAUUAGAGCGGCUGACUUGUGCGCUCGGCUUCAGGUUUGUCAGCAUUUUAAUUAUAAGCCCCACUUUCAGUGUUUAAUUACUCGGCUGUUAACGUCUACUCUGUACAUAAAAGGGUUGUUCCCCGGGGCACUCUCUGAAUGGAGUUCCUCAGGAAAACAGUUGGCUGUGUUGAGCUGCACAGGGCUAAGAGAUUUCACGUUGAGAUUCAGCAGGCUUUGGGUUCUUAACUCAACCUCAGUUGAUCACUGAAAAUGGCCUGUGCUUGUACCUGUGUGGAGAAGCUGGCAUUCGGGGCUAGACAGUUUCCAUUGUGGUCAGAUGACCAAAACAACAUUAAAACCACCACCAGCAAUCCCGGCAUUACACAGCCGGGGGUUUAUGUGUGAUUGUGAUCCCUGAGCCAGGACCUCCUAGAAGAAAUUGCUUAUGGACUAAUACAGGCUAGUAUGUGAUUUGUUUCCAGUGAAAAAUACAUCCACAUACAAGUACAUGUGUCUGCUU